UUGUUACAACUAAGCUAGAGAUAGCUUAUGUGCCUUCGGGAACUCUGAGACAGGUGCUGCAUGGCUGUCGUCAGCUCGUGUUGUGAAAUGUUGGGUUAAGUCCCGCAACGAGCGCAACCCUUAUCCUUUGUUGCCAGCGCGUAAUGGGGGGAACUCAAAGGAGACUGCCGGUGAUAAACCGGAGGAAGGGGGGGAUGACGUCAAGUCAUCAUGGCCCUUACGAGUAGGGCUACACACGUGCUACAAUGGCGUAUACAAAGAGAAGCGAACUCGCGAGAGCAAGCGGACCUCAUAAAGUAUGUCGUAUUCCGGAUUGGAGUCUGCAACUCGACUCCGUGAAGUCGGAAUCGCUAGUAAUCGUAAAUCAAAAUGCUACGGUGAAUACGUUCCCGGGUCUUGG
rnacentral:rRNA from 1 species